rnacentral:rRNA from 1 species
GAUCAUGGCUCAGAUUGAACGCUGGCGGCAUGCCUUACACAUGCAAGUCGAACGGCAGCACGGGGGCAACCCUGGUGGCGAGUGGCGAACGGGUGAGUAAUAUAUCGGAACGUACCCUGGAGUGGGGGGUAACGUAGCGAAAGUUACGCUAAUACCGCAUACGAUCUAAGGAUGAAAGUGGGGGAUCGCAAGACCUCAUGCUCCCGGAGCGGCCGAUAUCUGAUUAGCUAGUUGGUGGGGUAAAGGCCUACCAAGGCAUCGAUCAGUAGCUGGUCUGAGAGGACGACCAGCCACACUGGGACUGAGACACGGCCCAGACUCCUACGGGAGGCAGCAGUGGGGAAUUUUGGACAAUGGGGGCAACCCUGAUCCAGCAAUGCCGCGUGAGUGAAGAAGGCCUUCGGGUUGUAAAGCUCUUUUGUCAGGGAAGAAACGGUUGGGGCUAAUAUCCUCGGCUAAUGACGGUACCUGAAGAAUAAGCACCGGCUAACUACGUG